AGCUCUGUAAGCGUAUACCAAAGUUGUUGCAGUUAAAACGCUCGUAGUCGGACAUUGGCAAUUCCGGGAGUGUGCGCGUCGUGUGCGCGCUCUGCGGGGAUUGCUUUUGUGGUAUUGUGUGUGAUGAAGCAUUUUAAUUAAUGAACGUCUAUCGCAACCACUUUUUACUGUGAGAAAAUCAGAGUGCUCAAAGCAGGCAUUUGUCGUGAAUGAAUUAGCAUGGAAUAAUAGAAUAGGACUUGUUUCUAUUUUGUUGGUUUGUGAGGAAUGAGUAAUGAUUAAGAGGGACAGUUGGGGGCAUUUGUAUUUGGGGGCUAGAGGUGAAAUUCUUAGAUUCUCCAAAGACAAACUGCUGCGAAAGCGUCUGCCAAGGAUGUUUUCA
rnacentral:rRNA from 1 species